rnacentral:rRNA from 1 species
UAUGUGAUCGUCUCUCGCAUAUCAAUAAGCGGAGGAAAAGAAACUAACAAGGAUUCCCCUAGUAACGGCGAGUGAAGCGGGAAGAGCUCAAAUUUGAAAUCUUAAAGGGUUUCCCUUUACGAAUUGUAGUUUAAAGAAGUGUUUUCUGUUGAGGUUUUGGUAAAAGUUCUUUGGAAUAGGACAUCAUAGAGGGUGAGAAUCCCGUAUUUGACCUUUACUUUCAACUUUGUGAUACACUUUCAAAGAGUCGGAUUGUUUGGGAAUGCAGUCCAAAAUGGGUGGUAAAUUUCAUCUAAAACUAAAUAUUGGCGAGAGACCGAUAGCGAACAAGUACCGUGAGGGAAAGAUGAAAAGAACUUUGAAAAGAGAGUUAAACAGUACGUGAAAUUGUCAAAAGGGAAGCGUUUGACACCAGUGUUGUUUUUCUGAAAAUCAAUUAAAGAACUGUUUAUGCUAAGCUGUUUAGACUUUAUCAGCUAUCUGUUUAGUUUUGAGCUUUUCUUUAAUGCACUUUUCAGUUAACAAGUCAACAUCAAUUUCUUUUGCUGUAAAAAAGCUUGAGGAAGGUGGCUUGAGAUUCGUCUUAAGUGUUUAUAGCCUCUUGCCUAUGCAGUCGGAGAGAUUGAGGUCUGCAGCGUAGAUCCUUCGGGGCUAAAUGCAUUUGUGCUAAGUUAUAGCAUUUUAUAGACAACUUGUUGACUAUGAUUUGUCUUGUAGCUUACUCGCUUAUGUUAUUUUACCUACGCUUAGGAUGUUGAUAUCGCGCUCUCACUG